CACAGUUAUUUGCAUUAUUACAGACAUGAUUUUGGUCCAUAUCAACAGGGUACUGAUAGGGCUCAUUGAAGCACUCCCUUUUCAAAACAAGUGUAUGUUCAAGAUCUGCUCCACCUGGCAGCCCAUUUUCCUCACUACUAAUUUCAGAAUUAUUGCCUCGCCAGAACCAUUUCCUUCUGAUCGUCAACUGUCGACAACCUAGUGCUUCCUAAUCUCUACUUGUUCACAGGGCCUCAAGCUGGCAUAGGAUUUUCACAGCUCCUAUAGAAAUACAAGGGAAGAUGCUACAUCCACUGCUGCCAGGGGAGUUAUGGAUUGAUUCUCAAGUUUGGGGUCCUAUGUGAAAAUGCAUGGGGUCACUAAAAGCACUUCAGAAGAUGACAUCGUCAUCAUGAUGUUCCUAGGAGAUUCUCAACUCAAACCCCUCAUUCCUUCUCAAUCCUUCCUGCUGCUGGAGUCUUCUCUACAAGAUUUACCUUCUACACAUGUUAUUAAGCAAUUACCACAUGUCAGACACUGAGUUAAGCAAUAUAAGCAAGAUAGGCCCUGCCUUUCAAGAAUUGUAUUUUUAUUUUUAAAUACAUUUUUAUUACCAUCUUUUUUUUAAUUGCCAUAAUUUCUUGCAAUAACCCUCCUUUUACCCCAUCCAGAAAGCCAUACCGUAUGCAAACAAUAUUUUCUGAAAAUACAUGCAAUGUAUACUUGUUCGUGGGAGGACUGGAAUGUCUUCACAUUUCUCUUCUAUGUUCUAUCUCUGCUCUUUAUAGUUCAUAACAUUCACUUUUGAUUUUUGUUUGAGAAAUUACAUUGUUA